rnacentral:lncRNA from 1 species
GGCCGAGCACUUGUGAGACCUAAUGGGCAGGAAAUGAGACUUGGUGGAUCUAGAAAAGCCCCAAGGAAGAAGAAUAGGGCCAAAGGCAAGGCCCCAGUCCUUUUGAAGGCUUGGACGAAGUUGGCAGCUGGUAGUGGAGGCCUUCGGGUCUUCAUCUUCUCAGCCAAUGCCCCGAGGGAGGGGGUUCCAUUUCAGAUAGAGGAGCCGACGAGUGACCCUAGUGCCAUAGUCAAGG